rnacentral:lncRNA from 1 species
UAGACAAUUUCUAAGUUCUACCCUUUCUUUUCUUCAUCUCAAAUCCCAAAUAUACACCCAUUUUCAUCUCUUACCCAAUGAACACUCUUUUCUUUUCUUUUCUUUGUCUUAACAACUAUGUAUCUUAGCUCAAAAAAUUGUUAUCCCCAUUCUCUUAUUUAUUUAUUUUUUUUUUCUUUUUGGGGUUUUUAUUGACACAAUCUAAGCUAUCUCCAUUUUUUUUUUUUUUUUUUAAGACACACUUUUUUGAUUCAUUUCCUUUACAUAAUCUUUCCCAAUUCAAUCGUCAAGAUCAAAAUAAUUAAAGCACAUCAUUCCAACCACCAUCCUAGAUGCUAGCCCAAAACAUGUCCUAAUGCUAGCAAGAGAUGAGA